GUGGGGAAUAUUGGACAAUGGGCGAAAGCCUGAUCCAGCCAUGCCGCGUGUGUGAAGAAGGUCUUCGGAUUGUAAAGCACUUUAAGUUGGGAGGAAGGGCAGUAAGUUAAUACCUUGCUGUUUUGACGUUACCAACAGAAUAAGCACCGGCUAACUUCGUGCCAGCAGCCGCGGUAAUACGAAGGGUGCAAGCGUUAAGCGGAAUUACUGGGCGUAAAGCGCGCGUAGGGGGUUCAGCAAGUUUGAGGUGAAAUCCCCGGGCUCAACCUGGGAACUGCCUCCAAAACUACUGAGCUAGAGUACGGUAGAGGGUAGUGGAAUUUCCUGUGUAGCGGUGAAAUGCGUAGAUAUAGGAAGGAACACCAGUGGCGAAGGCGACUACCUGGACUGAUACUGACACUGAGGUGCGAAAGCGUGGGGAGCAAACAGGAUUAGAAACCCGAGUAGUCC
rnacentral:rRNA from 1 species